rnacentral:rRNA from 1 species
GGGAUGCGUUCCAUUAGGCAGUUGGUGAGGUAACGGCUCACCAAACCUUCGAUGGAUAGGGGUUCUGAGAGGAAGGUCCCCCACAUUGGAACUGAGACACGGUCCAAACUCCUACGGGAGGCAGCAGUGAGGAAUAUUGGUCAAUGGGCGCAGGCCUGAACCAGCCAAGUAGCGUGAAGGAUGACUGCCCUAUGGGUUGUAAACUUCUUUUAUAUGGGAAUAAAGUUUUCCACGUGUGGAAUUUUGUAUGUACCAUAUGAAUAAGGAUCGGCUAACUCCGUGCCAGCAGCCGCGGUAAUACGGAGGAUCCGAGCGUUAUCCGGAUUUAUUGGGUUUAAAGGGAGCGUAGGUGGACAGUUAAGUCAGUUGUGAAAGUUUGCGGCUCAACCGUAAAAUUGCAGUUGAUACUGGCUGUCUUGAGUACAGUAGAGGUGGGCGGAAUUCGUGGUGUAGCGGUGAAAUGCUUAGAUAUCACGAAGAACUCCGAUUGCGAAGGCAGCUCACUGGACUGCAACUGACACUGAUGCUCGAAAGUGUGGGUAUCAAACAGGAUUAGAUACCCUGGUAGUCCACACAGUAAACGAUGAAUACUCGCUGUUUGCGAUAUACAGUAAGCGGCCAAGCGAAAGCAUUAAGUAUUCCACCUGGGGAGUACGCCGGCAACGGUGAAACUCAAAGGAAUUGACGGGGGCCCGCACAAGCGGAGGAACAUGUGGUUUAAUUCGAUGAUACGCGAGGAACCUUACCCGGGCUUAAAUUGCAUUUGAAUAUAUUGGAAACAGUAUAGUCGUAAGACAAAUGUGAAGGUGCUGCAUGGUUGUCGUCAGCUCGUGCCGUGAGGUGUCGGCUUAAGUGCCAUAACGAGCGCAACCCUUAUCUUUAGUUACUAACAGGUCAUGCUGAGGACUCUAGAGAGACUGCCGUCGUAAGAUGUGAGGAAGGUGGGGAUGACGUCAAAUCAGCACGGCCCUUACGUCCGGGGCUACACACGUGUUACAAUGGGGGGUACAGAAGGCAGCUACCUGGUGACAGGAUGCUAAUCCCAAAAGCCUCUCUCAGUUCGGAUCGAAGUCUGCAACCCGACUUCGUGAAGCUGGAUUCGCUAGUA